rnacentral:rRNA from 1 species
AGAGUUUGAUCCUGGCUCAGAACGAACGCUGGCGGCGUGCUUAACACAUGCAAGUCGCGUGCGCAGUUGCCGUAGCAAUACGGUGAUGGGCGCACGGCGCACGGGUGCGUAACACGUGGGCAAUCUGCCCUUUGAUGGGGAAUAACCCGCCGAAAGGCGGGCUAAUUCCGCAUAAGAUUCCCUGGACUUCGGUCUGGGGAUUGAAAGCAGCAAUGCGUCGAAGGAGGAGCCCGCGCCCGAUUAGCUAGUUGGUGAGGUAACGGCUCACCAAGGCAAUGAUCGGUAGCUGGUCUGAGAGGAUGAUCAGCCACACUGGAACUGAGACACGGUCCAGACUCCUACGGGAGGCAGCAGUGGGGAAUCUUGCACAAUGGGCGAAAGCCUGAUGCAGCGACGCCGCGUGGGGGAUGAAGCAUUUCGGUGUGUAAACCCCUUUCGACUGGGAAGAAUACCUCGCAAGAGGGGUGACGGUACCAGUAGAAGAAGCCCCGGCUAACUACGUGCCAGCAGCCGCGGUAAGACGUAGGGGGCCAGCGUUGUUCGGAAUUACUGGGUGUAAAGGGUUCGUAGGCGGUGCGGCAAGUUGGGAGUGAAAUCUCUGGGCUUAACCCAGAGGCUGCUUCCAAAACUGCUGUGCUCGAGUGUGAGAGAGGCUCGUGGAAUUGCAGGUGUAGCGGUGAAAUGCGUAGAUAUCUGCAGGAACACCCGUGGCGAAAGCGGCGAGCUGGAUCACUACUGACGCUGAGGAACGAAAGCUAGGGGAGCAAACAGGAUUAGAUACCCUGGUAGUCCUAGCCCUAAACGAUCAGGACUUGGGGUGCCGCCCGUUCGGGCGUCGUCCCGGAGCUAACGCGUUAAGUCCUGCACCUGGGGAGUACGGUCGCAAGACUGAAACUCAAAGGAAUUGACGGGGGCCCGCACAAGCGGUGGAACAUGUGGUUCAAUUCGACGCUACGCGAGGAACCUUACCUGGGCUCGAAAUGC